rnacentral:rRNA from 1 species
AUACGGAGGGUCCAAGCGUUAUCCGGAAUCAUUGGGUCUAAAGGGUCCGCAGGCGGUCAAUUAAGUCAGAGGUGAAAGCCCAUCGCUCAACGAUGGAACUGCCUUUGAUACUGGUUGACUUGAGUUAUACGGAAGUAGAUAGAAUAAGUAGUGUAGCGGUGAAAUGCAUAGAUAUUACUUAGAAUACCGAUUGCGAAGGCAGUCUACUACGUAUAUACUGACGCUGAGGGACGAAAGCGUGGGGAGCGAACAGGAUUAGAAACCCCAGUAGUCC